AUCCUCCAAACCUUGCAGCAGGAUGCUUUUGGGUCUGCAGUUUCUCAGAAUUAGACAUCUCCUUGUUAGCAUGACACUUAAAUUCGAUCAUGCAACCCCUCUGAUUAAAGCCUCUCACUGUUUAUUUACUGUCGGCAAUAUUAAAUCCAAACCUUUUAUAUAAACAUGUCUGACAUGUAAACUUACCAAAAAAAAAAAAAAAAAAAAAAAAAAACUCCUGGCUGAAAUUGAAAGGCCUUAGCAUAAUGUCCACGUUGGGCUUCUCAUUCCUAGAACUGGAGAUCACAGGUCCUGAGCCUGCUGUACAGACCAUCAGCUCAGAAACAUGCACAGCAUAUUACAUAAAUCAACUUAUUUCCUCUUUCAGGAAAAGUCGUCUAUUAUUAAAAUAUAAAAUUUGACUAAUUCAUCCCCAAGUUCAUCUGCGGGACAUAAAAAUCUCAGCAGGUCUCCACCUAAAAAUUGCUCAUGGUUUCAAUUUUUAAAUUUGCAGCAAUCCGAUUUUAAAGCUAAAUGAUACCCGUUCUAAAUAAAAUGCCUAUACUUAAAAUAUUACAGACAAAUUUGAUCAUGUAAGGGAUUAGAUAUUUCUGCUUUCCAGCCCUCAACCAAAAAUCUCUUGUCCUAAAAAUUUUAAUAUGCCUGGAUAUCAGAAUAAACCUUUAGUUGAGAUAAACAAUUUUCAUCUUAUGAUUUUCCUAUUUAACGCACACAUAUUCACAUACACAGACAUUUCUUUUCUUUACCAUGAAGUUCCAGUUGCUUAGCAUAAAUUAUUUUUAAACCAUGUGAUUUAAUCAACAUAAUCAAUACAAAAACCCACAGUUUCACAGGCCACAAUAAAACAUCUUUGACAAAGUCCAAAGCUAUUGUAUGGUAACAAAUGUCGAGCUUCCUGCAACAUGCAUGUACUUAUGUUCUGCUUAACGCCUCACAAAGUCUCUGCCUCACCUAUGGAGACCAAGUCUUAAAGUAUGAUCAUAAAGCCAUACGUUUCUCAGCAGACUGAGACUAUCCAACAUGCAAAGCUCAUGAUAUCACUCUCCUAAAAAUCUCAUCGUGGCUGGCAUCCAAAUUCUUCAGCAUGGCAUGAGAGGACUCCUCACACCCCUCACCACCGUGUCGAACCUGACACGCUAUGUAAAUGUCAUUCAACCUCUCAUCUGGAGGUCACCCCAUUUCUCUGCACAAAAAGAAAAAAGUCCCACUGGAUGCCCUGGUACUGAGGGGGCCAGUGGACAGUCACCCACGCAGUAAACAGCACACCAAAUCCACAUACCUUAGCAUAAAAACACGCUUCAACAUCAUCAGAUUCCUUUGAACACAAAACUCUUCACCAUUUCACUCCUUAAAAUCCUUCCUUGGCCAAACUCCAAGCAUCCCGCAGCACCCCCCGCCCCCAUGCAAAAGGAUCAGAAAUGAUAUCUCACCCCUCACUCAGGAUGCAAUAGUGCCUUCAGUUUGCACAUGGGUCAAAUCUCCUAAAUAUAUUACAGUGUCCACUCCCUUCUCUGCUGAAUUCACAGGCUGUAAGGAGUCACUCCCAGAUUUAAAACGUUGCAAAGUUUCUAUGUAGCAUGAAGCUCCAAAUUCUUAACAGACAGUACAGGAUCUUAUCAUGUCACGUACC
rnacentral:lncRNA from 1 species